rnacentral:rRNA from 1 species
CGGGGGGGGGCAGCCCUAACACAUGCAAGUCGAGCGAGACCUUCGGGUCUAGCGGCGGACGGGUGAGUAACGCGUGGGAACGUACCCUUUUCUGCAGGAUAGCCACUGGAAACGGUGAGUAAUACUGCAUACGCCCUUCGGGGGAAAGAUUUAUCGGAGAAGGAUCGGCCCGCGUUAGAUUAGGUAGUUGGUGGGGUAAUGGCCUACCAAGCCUACGAUCUAUAGCUGGUUUGAGAGGAUGAUCAGCCACACUGGGACUGAGACACGGCCCAGACUCCUACGGGAGGCAGCAGUGGGGAAUCUUAGACAAUGGGGGCAACCCUGAUCUAGCCAUGCCGCGUGAGUGAUGAAGGCCUUAGGGUCGUAAAGCUCUUUCGCUGGGGAAGAUAAUGACGGUACCCAGUAAAGAAACCCCGGCUAACUCCGUGCCAGCAGCCGCGGUAAU